UAAUUUACAUUUCUAGAGAACAAGCUCUUUAUGGUACAUAGAAAUAAUCCUGUCAUACAGUGGCCAUUCAGAGAGGGAUAAAAACCUUAUAUAUGAAACUUUCACUAAUAACCUGAAACAUCACCACAGAGACAGUUGGGUUAUCCUGUUUGUUUAGACAUCCACUUAUUCACUUGAAAUGCAGGAAAUCUAUUUGAAAAAAACAAAACAAAACAUGAUCAGUUACUUGAUGCAAUCAUGAGAUGUGAUUGAGAAAAACUUAUUAAGGAAUUAUUUUGUCAGAGUCAGUCUCUCUCAACAAGAUUUACAGGCCAGUUGUUGACAUUGUAGUAUCCUCUCUUUGAACACUGGAAUUGAGCAACUUCAAAGAGUCAUUGGACCAAGGUCUUCAUGCUUCAAAUAAACCUGCAUCAAAGAAACCUGGCUAGAAGACAAAGAUCAUGCUUUAUUCCCCCACAAAAGGAUUAUGUUUAGAUUUAAUGUUGAUGCCUCAGUUAAGUGCUCACUUUGAAAAUCAAUACAACAUCGUGUGCUUGGUUGGCUCAAUACCUCUCAGUCAACAUUAAUAAAAAAACAGCAACAAA
rnacentral:lncRNA from 1 species